rnacentral:rRNA from 1 species
GACGAACGCUGGCGGCGUGCCUAAUACAUGCAAGUAGAACGCUGAAGAGAGGAGCUUGCUCUUCUUGGAUGAGUUGCGAACGGGUGAGUAACGCGUAGGUAACCUGCCUUGUAGCGGGGGAUAACUAUUGGAAACGAUAGCUAAUACCGCAUAACAAUGGAUGACACAUGUCAUUUAUUUGAAAGGGGCAAUUGCUCCACUACAAGAUGGACCUGCGUUGUAUUAGCUAGUAGGUGAGGUAACGGCUCACCUAGGCGACGAUACAUAGCCGACCUGAGAGGGUGAUCGGCCACACUGGGACUGAGACACGGCCCAGACUCCUACGGGAGGCAGCAGUAGGGAAUCUUCGGCAAUGGGGGCAACCCUGACCGAGCAACGCCGCGUGAGUGAAGAAGGUUUUCGGAUCGUAAGGCUCUGUUGUAAGUCAAGAACGAGUGUGAGAGUGGAAAGUUCACACUGUGACGGUAGCUUACCAGAAAGGGACGGCUAACUACGUG